UCGGACGUGGUGUAUGGUGCACAGCCUGGACUUUCAGAGUUUGAGCUUGGAUAUCAUGGGAAGGACGGGUUCGAUUCCCGUCGUUCGAA